GUAUAUUUUAUGUUGCUGUAACAUAUAUCCUUCACAUUGAUUUAUUUGCUUCAAUUUGUCCUUUAUAACUGUUAAUUGCGAUUUGGGGACGAUUACCCGCCAGAAUGCCCACAAUCCGAAGAAUGCGCUGUGAUAAACGACGAGAGCCUGGGGGCCGAGUGCCCGCCACCAGAUAUGAUCCAUCCGAGAUGUGGCUUCUGCAGCGUCGGCAGUCCAGGCGACAGCUGAAUUUGUCCCACACACAGCAACUCGAAGAACAGUCCAGUUCCGAUGAGCAGGUCAAUCCGUUGCGGAUUAUGGAACGAAGGGUCAGCAAGCUGGAUAUUCGAGGGGAUAUUCCAAUUAGAGGCGCUAAAUGGGAUGCUAGGUUGAUUGUCCGUGAUCUGCUGGGCAACGACGGAAGUGAUGCUAGUGGUGAAAUCUGAAAUCCGCGAGAUGCACCUGGAUACCCACCAGCGCUUUUUUUUACGAGAACGACUACGAUGGCUAAUAGCACAGCAUCAGAAGGACUGUGGGAUAUUAGGGCUUGGGGCAAUGAGGACGACNUUGCGAUUUGGGGACGAUUACCCGCCAGAAUGCCCACAAUCCGAAGAAUGCGCUGUGAUAAACGACGAGAGCCUGGGGGCCGAGUGCCCGCCACCAGAUAUGAUCCAUCCGAGAUGUGGCUUCUGCAGCGUCGGCAGUCCAGGCGACAGCUGAAUUUGUCCCACACACAGCAACUCGAAGAACAGUCCAGUUCCGAUGAGCAGGUCAAUCCGUUGCGGAUUAUGGAACGAAGGGUCAGCAAGCUGGAUAUUCGAGGGGAUAUUCCAAUUAGAGGCGCUAAAUGGGAUGCUAGGUUGAUUGUCCGUGAUCUGCUGGGCAACGACGGAAGUGAUGCUAGUGGUGAAAUCUGAAAUCCGCGAGAUGCACCUGGAUACCCACCAGCGCUUUUUUUUACGAGAACGACUACGAUGGCUAAUAGCACAGCAUCAGAAGGACUGUGGGAUAUUAGGGCUUGGGGCAAUGAGGACGACAUGGCAACCAUAGCAGUAUGACUUGGUUGUUAUUGCGAGGCUUUAUUCGUACAAACAGAUUGAAUAGUCUCAGUUGAAAGAAUUAAAUGCAAAAGCGUGUGGUGCUUCGAUCGGCAAGUGCGGCAGGAACCGGAUUUACAAUCCUUCAUGUGAUGGCCCUUUCGUAGGCAAUUAAGGCAUAAUAAGAGCCGCUUUGCUUCCACAUGACGACAGAGGCGACAGAAGUGUAAGCCAUUGGCAAUUGGCAAUCAUAUGGUUAGUGCCCUCGCAUAACAAACAAGAACCGCGGGCGCUCGAUGCGACGAAAGAUUUUCUAUGAUGCGUACUCACGGUUUUUCCUGACUUGCUAAACUGAUUUUGCACUUGCGUCGAUUGAUCCGCAUUUUAACGUGAUCGACAUAUUUUUCCCAAAAAUCCCGACAAUUUUUCCCACGAAAGCAGCUCCUGAUUCAACGGAGUUUCCUCCUAUCUGUUCUGAGUGGCCUUGUCCAACUUCUGAAGUACUGUUUGUACAAGAAUACAGCCUGCUUCUUCUUCCUUACUUGUCAGCGAUUCCAUUGCUCGAAUAUGUGAGGUGACUCUGUCAGUUCCCUCAGCUUGCCCACCGAUGCGUCAGCCUUCUCCAACCCAAAUAUCCCUAUGAUGUGUGCCUGCAAAAUAAAACGCUUAUUAUUAUCAAAGCGACGCUUUAAAAUAUCUAGUGCCACGAUAUAAUUGGCCUCAUUUAUCUCCAAUGAGCUGAUGGUAUUGAGGGCUGCGCCACUCAAACAGGAACGUAGAUGCUGCAGCUUUUCGAUAGGGGUCAGCUCGGACUUCUUGUCAAUGAUCGCGGUGAACAUUGAGAAGAAAUUGGCCCACUCCGUGUAAAUUCCACUAAAUUUUGGCAGCUCCAGCUGAGGCAGCCGAGAUCUAUUGGCCAUAACGACGAUUGAUUGGGAUGCACUUGAGUUGGGGUUUAUUGUCGAACAGUGCUUGGUGCUGGACCGACUUCCAAACUCGCGCUGAAGAAUGGUCCGCAGUGAUAAUAUGGACGAGUCGAAUUUGGCAGGUACUUCACUGGACAUGGACUCAAAAUCCAUUUCCUCUAAGCUGUUAUGCGCCACAGCAAAAUUAGAUUCCAGUACAGUCAACGAUUGCAACAGUCCUUGCAGAUCAUAUUCAUCCAUUUGGCACAGCUUCUCACUAUCCAUAUCCGUGCGUAUGGAUUCUAGCCUAUCGAAAAUAGACCUAGUUUUUAGCUUCAGAAAUGUAGUCCGGGACGCAGGGAAUUGUGUGUUGUGUGCAGCGUUGGCACUAAAACUUCCACCACUUGGAGCAGCUCCAAAUGCCACCGACUCGCUAUGUGUUUCACCAGCCUCAUUUGCCAUAGCACACGAUCCACUUUUUAUACCCGGUACUCAAAGAGUAAAUAGGGUAUACUGUAUUUGUGCGAAUAACGGUUGUAUGUAACGCACAGAAGGAAGCGUUUCCGACCCCAUAAAGUAUAUAUAUUCUUGAUCAAGCAUCAAUAGCCGAGUCGAUAGAGCCAUGUCUGUCUGUCCGUCUGUCCGUCUUGUUUGUCGGCUAGUUAUCAGAGACUAUAAGAGCUAGAGCUACCAAAUUUUGCAUCCAGACUGCUUUAUGCUCACACUGAAACCAGUGUCUUUCAAAAAUGAGCCACGCCCCCUUCCGCCCCCGCAAAAGGGCGAAAACCUACCAAACCUACAAUUUUGAAGAUAAAAGAAAACUAAAAACGCCAUUCCAUAGGGAAUGGCCAUAUAUAUCCGAUCACCAAAUUGGGAUCCGAUUG
rnacentral:lncRNA from 1 species